rnacentral:rRNA from 1 species
UACAGAGGUCCCAAGCGUUGUUCGGAUUCACUGGGCGUAAAGGGUGCGUAGGUAGCGAGGUAAGUCGGAUGUGAAAGCUCGGAGCUCAACUCCGAAAUGGCAUUGGAAACUACCUUGCUCGAGGGAUGGAGGGGGGACUGGAAUUCUCGGUGUAGUGGUGAAAUGCGUAGAUAUCGGGAGGAACACCAGUGGCGAAGGCGGCUUCCUGGCCUGUUCUUGACGCUGAGGCGCGAAAGCUAGGGGAGCAAACGGG